UACGAAGGGGGCUAGCGUUGCUCGGAAUCACUGGGCGUAAAGCGCACGUAGGCGGAUUGCUAAGUCAGGGGUGAAAUCCUGGAGCUCAACUCCAGAACUGCCUUUGAUACUGGCGAUCUCGAGUCCGGGAGAGGUGAGUGGAACUGCGAGUGUAGAGGUGAAAUUCGUAGAUAUUCGGAAGAACACCAGUGGCGAAGGCGGCUCACUGGACUGGUAUUGACGCUGAGGUGCGAAAGCGUGGGGAGCAAACAGG
rnacentral:rRNA from 1 species